GUCUACGGCCAUGCUACCCUGAACAAGCCUGAUCCCAUCUGAUCCCGGAAGCUAAGCAGGGUCGGGCCUAGUUAGUACUUGGAUGGGAGACCACCUAGGAAGACCAGGUGCUGUAGGCA
rnacentral:rRNA from 1 species